AGAUAUUAACCGGGAACGUCAGAAAUCUCUAACACUAACACCCACCCGCUCAGACUCCAGUGAAGGAUUUCUUCAGCUGCCCCAUCAAGACAGUCAAGACAGCUCUUCAGUAGGGUCAAACUCUUUAGAAGAUGGCCAAACCCUGGGGACAAAGAAGAGCAGCAUGGUUGCACUGAAAAGACUGCCCUUUUUGAGGAACAGACCGAAGGAUAAAGACAAAAUGAAGGCCUGCUACCGUCGUUCCAUGUGUAAGACUUUAUGACAGCUCAGCCUCUUUCCAAUGACUACACUGGCUUCCACCACUAAUUUCUCACUAACUGUCUCUGGACUGUACUAAUUUCCUAGUUUGCAAAGUGCAGUCUUCCUUUAAUAUGAGGAGCUGAAAGAAUAUUUUUUUCAAAGAAGGCAUUGAAUUUGCAUUAUAUGUAUACUGCUCAUACAUAUAUAUGCAUAUGUUUAGUAAUACAAGCAAUAUACCUGUAAAGGUCCAGUGCUUUCAAAACUGGCAAAAACAAACUUAAUUUUAUAUGCCAGACAGAUUUUUUUCCCCAAAGAAGUUUACUUAAGGAAAAAUAUAACAAACCCUUUAGCAUUAGGAACUUAUUUCCUUAAUGAACCUAAUUAAAUAAAUAAAUGAAUAAAGUGGCCUAUAAUACUUG
rnacentral:lncRNA from 1 species